rnacentral:rRNA from 1 species
AGAGCGAACGCUGGCGGCAGGCCUAACACAUGCAAGUCGAGCGCCCGUAGCAAUACGGGAGCGGCAGACGGGAUAGUAACACGUGGGAACGCGCCCUUCGGUUCGGAAUAACUCAGGGAAACUUGAGCUAAUACCGGAUACGCCCUUACGGGGAAAGAUUUAUUGCCGAAGGAACGGCCCGCGUCCGAUUAGCUAGUUGGUGAGGUAAUGGCUCACCAAGGCGACGAUCGGUAGCUGGUCUGAGAGGAUGACCAGCAUCACUGGGACUGAGACACGGCCCAGACUCCUACGGGAGGCAGCAGUGGGGAAUAUUGGACAAUGGGCGCAAGCCUGAUCCAGCCAUGCCGCGUGGAUGAUGAAGGCCUUAGGGUUGUAAAGUCCUUUUAACGGGGAAGAUAAUGACGGUACCCGUAGAAUAAGCCCCGGCUAAACUUCGUGCCAGCAGCCGC